AUUGAACGCUGGCGGCAUGCCUUACACAUGCAAGUCGAACGGCAGCACGGGAGCUUGCUCCUGGUGGCGAGUGGCGAACGGGUGAGUAAUGCAUCGGAACGUGCCCUGAAGUGGGGGAUAACGUAGCGAAAGUUACGCUAAUACCGCAUAUUCUGUGAGCAGGAAAGCAGGGGAUCUUCGGACCUUGCGCUUUUGGAGCGGCCGAUGUCGGAUUAGCUAGUUGGUGGGGUAAAGGCCCACCAAGGCGACGAUCCGUAGCGGGUCUGAGAGGAUGAUCCGCCACACUGGAACUGAGACACGGUCCAGACUCCUACGGGAGGCAGCAGUGGGGAAUUUUGGACAAUGGGCGCAAGCCUGAUCCAGCCAUGCCGCGUGAGUGAAGAAGGCCUU
rnacentral:rRNA from 1 species